CACAAUGAUGUUAUUCUUACACGCCAUUUUCUAAACUUUUCCCCUACAACUCCCUUUGAUUGAAAAGUAGAGAAAUCCACUUUUUUUUUUCUAUUCUCUUUUUUCUCCAAUAAAAGAGAGGUGUAGAGGAA
rnacentral:pre_miRNA from 1 species